CGCGGACGGGAGCCGGCUCGGGUCAGGCGGCGCCGGCGGCGGCAGCGGCCGGUAAUGCCGGGGAACGGAACGGAACGGAACGGAACGGAACGGAACGGAACGGAACGGAACGGGGCUGGAUAUGAUGGGGACGCGAUGCGAUGGGCAGAUGGCAGAUCCAGACCUGUUGGAGGAAUCCUCUUCACUGCUGGAGCCGAGCGAGAUGGGAAGAGGUGCCCCGCUCCGACUCGGGUUCGUGGCUGGCGUGAUCAACCGCGAGCGCAUCCCCACGUUCGAGCGGAUGCUGUGGCGCGUGUGCCGCGGGAACGUCUUCCUGCGCCAGGCCGAGAUCGAGAACCCCCUGGAGGACCCCGUCACGGGGGAUUACGUGCACAAGUCUGUAUUUAUCAUCUUCUUCCAAGGUGACCAGCUGAAGAACAGAGUCAAGAAGAUCUGUGAAGGGUUCUGGGUCUCCCUCUACCCAUGCCCAGAAACACCUCAGGAGCAGAAGGAUGAUCUUCAGAUGGAGCACAGCGGAUCCACUGUCCCAUGUAUUUUAAACAGGAUGCAAACCAAUCAGACCCCACCCACAUACAACAAAACUAACAAGAUUACUUCUGGCUUUCAAAACAUUGUUGAUGCUUAUGGCAUUGGGACAUAACGGGAAAUAAAUCCAGCACCCUAUACCAUCAUCACCUUCCCAUUCCUGUUUGCUGUGAUGUUUGGGGAUUUUGGCCAUGGAAUCCUGAUGACUCUUAUUGCACUCUGCAGGUGGUGAGGAAGAGCGACAAUGAGAUGUUCUACGCAGUAUUCAGUGGUCGAUACAUCAUCCUGCUGAUGGGGCUGUUCUCCACGUACACAGGCCUCAUCUAUAACGACUGCUUCUCCAAAUCCCUCAACAUCCAGGAAUCUUCCAAAAAAUCCCAAUAAACAAGGAUGUGUUGCAGACCCAA